rfam:Paenibacillus popilliae ATCC 14706 DNA, contig: contig021.
ACGUUGCGAUGAAGUGAGAGGUUACCGACACACCCGGCCCCUUUGCCAUGGCGGUGCGGUCGGAAAAUUUUCACGGAGUAUGUCCGAUCCAAAAUUGGGCGAUAA